GUGCUCGCUUAGACAACACAUAUAUUAAAAUUGGAACGACACAGAAAAGAUUAACAUGGCCCUGUGCAAGGAUAACAUGCAAAUUCAUGAAGCAGUUCAUAUUUAA
rnacentral:snRNA from 1 species